rnacentral:rRNA from 1 species
GGUAAACGGUGGAUGCCUUGACAUCAUGCAGCGAAGAAGGGCGUGGCGUAGCUGCGAUAAGCCCCGGGUAGGUGUGUAGCAACCUGCGAUCCGGGGAUUCCCGAAUGGGGAAACCCGAUGCUGUGAACCAGCAUCGCGCUCCGCUUGACGGAGCGCGCAGACCCGGUGAAGUGAAACAUCUCAGUAACCGGAGGAAAAGAAAUCAAGUCAGAGAUUCCCUUAUUAGUGGCGAGCGAACGGGGAAGUGCCUAAACCCAUCUUUCGAGGUGGGGGUUGCAGGGCCGAGCGUGUGNNNNNNNNNNNNNNNNNNNNNNNNNCUCUGGAAAGAGUCACCACAGAAGGUGACAGUCCUGUAGGCGAAAUCGGAUUACGGCGGGGUGCUCGGUUCCUAAGUACUUCGAGAACAGAAAGUCUCGAGGGAAGCUGGGAGGACUACCUUCCAAGGCAAAAUAUGCAUGAUGAUCGAUAGUGAACAAGUACCGUGAGGGAAAGGUGAAAAGCAGCCCGGUGAGGGCGGUGAAAUAGUACCUGAAACCGUUUACCUACAAGCAGUUGGAGCCUCGCUUCGGCGGGGUGACAGCGUGCCUAUUGAAGAAUGAGCCAACGAGUUUAUCUAUACGGCUUGGUUAAGCCUUACGGGGUGGAGCCGAAGGGAAACCGAGUGUUAAUAGCGCGUUUGUCGUAUGGAUAAGACCCGAAGCCAGGCGAGCUUACCUUGGCCAGGGUGAGCUCCGACGAAAGUCGGAGGGAAGCCCGAACCGGUUGGCUGUGCAAAACCUUCGGAUGAGCUGAGGUAAGAAGUGAAAAGCUUAUCGAGCCUGGUAAUAGCUGGUUCUCUCCGAAACAACUUUCGGGUUGGCGUCGGUUAAUAGAUUUCUGGGGGUAGAGUUACUGGUUGGGAAAGACAGGGCGCAAGCUCGCUUUCCCAGUCAAACUCCGAAUACCGGAAAUUGUUUACCGGCAGUUAGACUGUGGGGGCUAAGCUCCAUGGUCGAGAGGGGAAGAGCCCAGAUCGCCGUCUAAGGUCCCCAAAUUACUGCUCAGUGUGAAAGGUUGUUGAUGUGCUGGAACAGAUAGGAGGUUGGCUCAGAAGCAGCCAUCCUUUAAAGAGUGCGUAACAGCUCACUAUUCGAGCGCAUCUGCGCCGAAGAUUUAUCGGGGCUAAGCAGUAUACCGAAGACGCGAAUACUUUGUGCUUCGCACAGAGACGCAGAUAUAUGCGGAUUAAGUUGAUUGAUGCAGAUAUGCUUAAAAACUAUCUGUAUGAGUCUGCCCUAUCGGCAUUAAUCGGCGUCUUUGCGCGAAGCAUGAGGUAUGGUAGGAGAGCAUUUCCAUUGCGGUGAAGUCUUGCCGUGAGACAAGGUGGAGCGAUGGGAAGAGAGAAUGUUGGCAUAAGUAAUCGCAUGUCCGGUGAAAAACCGGUCCCCCGCAAGUCCAAGGAUUCCUCCGCAACGUAAAUCGACGGAGGGUUAGGCGGUCCUAAGGCGAUGGUGAAAACCGCAGCUAAUGGACAGCAGGUUAAUAUUCCUGCCCGCCGUUUGUGAGAUGCCGAUGUGGUGACGAAGGAAAUAAACGUGAACGCCUUAUUGGUUUGGCGUUCUUUGCGACAAGAGGCGGUUUCUAGGCAAAUCCGGAAACCGGGUUUCAGUACCAGUCUCGGUCGCCGAGGAAAGAUUGCGUUCGCGCAGUCAAUUCGCGUGAAGAGCCUUCCGAGAAAAACCACUAAGGCGCGCUCAAACGGCUCCGNNNNNNNNNNNNNNNNNNNNNNNNNNNNNNNNNNNNNNNNNNNNNNNNNNNNNNNNNNNNNNNNNNNNNNNNNNNNNNNNNGAUGCGAGAAGGUUAACGGUGGGGGUGUUCUGACGCAAGUUGGAAUGCUCACUGCCCGAAGCCCUCGUCAAUGUCAGCGGUAACUAUAACCGUUCUAAGGUAGCGCAAUUCCUUUCCGGGUAAGUUCCGGAGCGCACGAAAGGCGUAACGACUGGAAAACUGUCUCAGCGAAGAGCUCGAUGAAAAUACAAUUGCCGUGAAGAUGCGGCAUACUGGCAGCAGGACGGAAAGACCCCGGGAGCUUUACUAUAGCUUGGCAUUGAUGCUUGUGCGUGGUUGCAAAGUGUAGCAGGGAGGCGUUGAAGGUCCGAUUCCGGUCGGGCUGGAGCCGUCAAUGGAACACCUGCCUUCUUCGUGCUUGUGUCUAACCCUGACGGAAAAAACGGCAGGGGACCGUGCCUGGUGGGUAGUUUAGGUGGGGCGCUUUCCUCCAAAAGAGUAACGGAGGAGUCUAUUAAGGUUGGCUUUCCGCCGAUGGAAAUGGCGGAUGAAGUGCAAAGGCAAAAGCCAGCUUGACUGUGAGGCGGACAUGCCGCGCAGGUGCGAAAGCAGAGCUUAGCGACCCGACGAUUCUUAGUAGAACGGUCGGAGAUAUCGGAUAAAAGUUACCCCGGGGAUAACAGGCUAGUCGCGCCUGAGCGUUCACAGCGACGGCGCGGUUCGGCACCUCGAUGUCGGCUCAUCACAUCCUGGGACUGGAGAAGGCCCCAAGGGUUUGGCUGUACGCCAAUUAAAGUGAUACGUGAGCUGGGUUCAAACCGUCGUGAGACAGGUUGGUCCCCUAUCCGCUGUCAGCGCGAGACGUUUGAGGGAAGUUGGCCACAGUACGAGAGGACNNNNNNNNNNAAGCGCGAAGCCCCUCCCAAGAUGAGACGUCUUGUCCCGCUUCGGCGGGACGUGAGGUCCUAAGAGAUGAUUAGGUUGAUAGGCUCUAGGUGUAAGCUCCGUAAGGAGUUCAGCCGAGGAGUACUAAUAC